UGGGCCGUUUUUUUUGUGCGAAUGAGGCGAGGCUUCUUGGGGGCGAAGGUGGAGGCGGAGGAGCCGGCACCGAGGUUGGCGGUGGCGGUGAGCUGCUGGCGCUCACGGCGGUGGGCGGCGGGCUGCGGGCGGCGAGUGGUGGGCUUGAUUGAGAGUAAUGAUAUUAAGUUGGGAGAGAAAGAAAGAAUAAUUUAAGGAAAUUGUUUAAUAAGAUAGGGAUAAAAUAGGUAUUUUAAUUAGGUUUUAACUCUGGUAUACAUUUAACCUAUGUUUAACCCGAGUUAGUUUAACAGGGGAUAACUGUGGGGGUAUUUUGGAAUAACGGUGGAACAUAUGAGGGGUAUUUUAGAAAGAAAAAAAAAAUAGGGAUAAAUCGGAUAUAUUCAAACGCAUGAAGGGUAUAUUGGCAAUUAUCCCUUAUUACUUUGUCAUCCUACAUGGUACAAUAAGAUUGGUUUGAGAUAUAUUUUAUGUGAUGUAUUUGCUAUAAUAAAUAUUUUUCCGGCUAAAGAGAUUAGAUAUAUAAAAACUACUUGACUUAAAAAUCUUUGCUUAGCUCUCUGAAUAACCAUAGAUUUCACUUGAU
rnacentral:lncRNA from 1 species